GCCCGCCUAGCUCAAUCGGAUAGAGCGUCAGACUUUUAAGGCGGGUGUGCUUGAUAAUCUGAAGGCUGCGAGUUCGACCCUCGCGGUGGGCU